rnacentral:lncRNA from 1 species
CCUGCACAUUCACGAGUGAAUGCUUACAGCUUAAACAUUACAAAAGUUGGGACAUAACCCAGAAUCCGCUAAGCGGCAAACAAGAUAAAAACUUGGGCCCUAACACAUGAGGGCAACCUAGCCAUGACAAAGUCCAGAGCUCAGCUAAAGCAAGCAAACUGAUCACAAAUCUAAACCUUACACAUGAAGACACUCGAACCGGGCAAACACAACAGAUAUCUGUUGCCUUACACAGGAAGGAAAUCAAACAGGUACUGCCCGAGGCACAGACCAAAACAAAAGAAGGAUUCUACACUCCUAUUCUCUUAUAAUGUUUCCAGGAACUAAAGAGUUGUAGUGCUGCUCCUUCCAGAUAUCUGCAGCCAUAAUUCAAAUUUCUUCUCUCUUCCUCUUUAGACAGCAGAGACCAAUGCCUGAUCCAGAAA